rnacentral:rRNA from 1 species
CCUACGGGGGGCUGCAGUGAGGAAUAUUGGUCAAUGGGCGAGAGCCUGAACCAGCCAAGUCGCGUGAAGGAAGAAGGAUCUAUGGUUUGUAAACUUCUUUUAUAUGGGAAUAAAGUGAGGAACGUGUUCCUUUUUGUAUGUACCAUAUGAAUAAGCAUCGGCUAACUCCGUGCCAGCAGCCGCGGUAAUACGGAGGAUGCGAGCGUUAUCCGGAUUUAUUGGUUUUAAAGGGUGCGUAGGUGGUUAAUUAAGUCAGCGGUGAAAGUUUGUGGCUCAACCAUAACAUGGCCGUUGAAACUGGUUGACUUGAGUGUAUUAGAGGUAGGCGGAAUGCGUGGUGUAGCGGUGAAAUGCAUAGAUAUCACGCAGAACUCCGAUUGCGAAGGCAGCUUACUAGACUAUAACUGACGCUGAGGCACGAAAGCGUGGGGAUCGAACAGGAUUAGAUACCCUGGUAGUC